GCUUGGCUGGCUGAGUUGGUAGAGCAUGUGACUCUUGAUCACAGGGUUGUGAGUUCAAGCCCCACAUUGGGUG
rnacentral:tRNA from 1 species